AGUUAUGUUUGACUGUUUGCUGGGCCUAUGACAGACAAGGCAAGCUCUACUCUCAGAAGCAAAAAUUAUAUAUCUAGGAGUCAGAGUAUGAAUCAAGAAGAAUGGACUUCUGCUUCUUAUCUACCUAAUGCCAGAAAGCACAAGCAACAACAACAAAAAAGAUGAAUAAACUGGAUUUCAACAAAAACACAUUUGUGCUUCAGAGAACAUAAUCAAGAAAGUGAAAAGGCAACCCACCAAUGGGAGAACACAGUUUCAAAACAUAUAUCUAAUAAAAUAUUUGAGUCCAGAU
rnacentral:lncRNA from 1 species